rnacentral:snRNA from 1 species
GUGCUCACUUCAGCAGCACGUGUACUAAAAGUGGAAGAAUACGGGGAAGAUUGGUGUGGCCUGUGUGCAAGGAUGACACGCAAACUCGUGAAGCACUCCGCAUUUUU